CUUCCUUUGCUGCGUCUACUGCGAGAAUGAAGACUAUUCUCAGCAAUCAGACUGUCGACAUUCCAGAAAAUGGUAUGAGACUUGAUGUCUUUACUUACAUCUUUACUGCAUGUUCCAAGCGUUGUGUGGCCUGACGAGUGUGUUCUCUCUUCUAGUCGACAUUACUCUGAAGGGACGCACAGUUAUCGUGAAGGGCCCCAGAGGAACCCUGCGGAGGGACUUCAAUCACAUCAAUGUAGAACUCAGCCUUCUUGGAAAGAAAAAAAAGAGGCUCCGGGUUGACAAAUGGUGGGGUAACAGAAAGGAACUGGCUACCGUUCGGACUAUUUGUAGUCACGUACAGAACAUGAUCAAGGGUGUUACACUGGGCUUCCGUUACAAGAUGAGGUCUGUGUAUGCUCACUUCCCCAUCAACGUUGUUAUCCAGGAGAAUGGGUCUCUUGUUGAAAUCCGAAAUUUCUUGGGUGAAAAAUACAUCCGCAGGGUUCGGAUGAGACCAGGUAUGUGCAUGCCCUCAGACAGAAUUAAGAAAUUUUUCCUUCAUUUUUUUUUCCUCCUUUUCCACUCCCAACUUCCAU
rnacentral:sRNA from 1 species